UACUGGUUGAUGUAGGACAGGUUCAGUUCUGGUUGAUGUAGGACAGGUUCAGUUCUGGUUGAUGUAGGACAGGUUCAGUACUGGUUGAUGUAGGACAGGUUCAGUUCUGGUUGAUGUAGGACAGGUUCAGUUCUGGUUGAUGUAGGACAGGUUCAGUUCUGGUUGAUGUAGGACAGGUUCAGUUCUGGUUGAUGUAGGACAGGUUCAGUUCUGGUUGAUGUAGGACAGGUUCAGUACUGGUUGCUAUAGGACAGGUUAGGUACUGGAAGCUGUAGGACAGGUUAGGUUCUUGUUGCUAGAGGACAGGUUAGGUUCUUGUUGCUAGAGGACAGGUUCAGUUCUGGUUGAUGUAGGACAGGUUCAGUACUGGUUGCUAUAGGACAGGUUAGGUACUGGAAGCUGUAGGACAGGUUAGGUUCUUGUUGCUAGAGGACAGGUUAGGUUCUUGUUGCUAGAGGACAGGUUCAGUUCUGGUUGAUGUAGGACAGGUUCAGUACUGGUUGCUAUAGGACAGGUUAGGUACUGGAAGCUGUAGGCCAGGUUCAGUUCUUGUUGCUAGAGGACAGGUUAGGUUCUUGUUGCUAGAGGACAGGUUCCGUUCUGGUUGAUGUAGGACAGAUUCAGUACUGGUUGCUAUAGGACAGGUUAGGUACUGGAAGCUGUAGGACAGGUUCAGUACUGGUUGCUAGAGGACAGGUUAGGUACUGGAAGCUGUAGGACAGGUUCAGUACUGGUUGCUAGAGGACAGGUUAGGUACUGGAAGCUGUAGGACAGGUUCUGUCCUGGUUGAUGUAGGACAGGUUCAGUACUGGUUGCUAUAGGACAGGUUAGGUACUGGAAGCUGUAGGACAGGUUCAGUACUGGUUGCUAUAGGACAGGUUAGGUACUGGAAGCUGUAGGACAGGUUCUGUCCUGGUUGAUGUAGGACAGGUUCAGUACUGGUUGCUAUAGGACAGGUUAGGUACUGGAAGCUGUAGGACAGGUUCAGUACUGGUUGCUAGAGGACAGGUUAGGUACUGGAAGCUGUAGGACAGGUUCAGUACUGGUUGCUAGAGGACAGGUUAGGUACUGGAAGCUGUAGGACAGGUUCAGUACUGGUUGCUAGAGGACAGGUUAGGUACUGGAAGCUGUAGGACAGGUUCAGUACUGGUUGCUAGAGGACAGGUUAGGUACUGGAAGCUGUAGGACAGGUUCAGUACUGGUUGCUAGAGGACAGGUUAGGUACUGUUUGUGUUGCUUGUUGUUUGUCUGUUAACAUGACUCUGAGCAUACAGAAGGCUCAGUGGAAAGUGUAUACCAUUGGACAGUAGUGCACUGACAGGAUCCAGGUAUCGAUGGCUUUGAUUCUGUUGUUGUGUCACGUUGUAUAAUGUUCACUGAACUGUUUUCGGUUCUUAGAUGGAAAACCACUCCAUAGAACCGCAUACCCAGAAAAUCAAUAUCCUCAUACUACAUUCAUACUGUUGCUAAGUUAUAUUCCAGAAAUAUUUAAUUACUAAAGGAUGUUUUUUUUUUUUUAUUGUUUUGUAAAAUAAACUUUAUAUAAAUGUGGAAUUCUU